ACCUCGGUGGUGUAGUAGUAGCACGCGUCCUCGGUAUGCAUGAAAAGCGAGUUCGACUCUCGUCUGAGACCGUA